rnacentral:tRNA from 1 species
GCCUGGGUGGCUCAGCUGGUUAAGCAUCGGACUUCGGCUUGAGUUGCGAUCCCACGGUUUGUGGGUUUGAGCCCCACAUCAGGCU